GAUGAACGCUAGCUACAGGCUUAACACAUGCAAGUCGAGGGGAAACGACAUCGAAAGCUUGCUUUUGAUGGGCGUCGACCGGCGCACGGGUGAGUAACGCGUAUCCAACCUGCCCACCACUUGGGGAUAACCUUGCGAAAGUAAGACUAAUACCCGAUGAUAUCUCUAGAAGACAUCUUGAAAAGGGGAUUAAAGAUUUAUCGGUGAUGGAUGGGGAUGCGUCUGAUUAGCUUGUUGGCGGGGCAACGGCCCACCAAGCCUACGAUCAGUAGGGGUUCUGAGAGGAAGGUCCCCCACAUUGGAACUGAGACACGGUCCAAACUCCUACGGGAGGCAGCAGUGAGGAAUAUUGGUCAAUGGGCGCAGGCCUGAACCAGCCAAGUCGCGUGAGGGAUGACGGUCCUACGGAUUGUAAACCUCUUUUGUCGGGAGUAACGUGCGGGACGGGUCCCGUAUUGAGAGUACCCGAAGAAAAAGCAUCGGCUAACUCCGUG
rnacentral:rRNA from 1 species